GUUCUUGGCUGCAGCAUAGGUGAUCCACAAGAGAAUCCAUGAGAGGAAGGGAAAGAGAUAGAGAGCCAGAAACAUGGAUCAGCUGUCUCCUGCACGCCCUCUACUGGGGAUGUGCCUGCAACCAAGAGCGUGGAAGGGAGGGGGAGACAGAAGAGAGAAACAUGGAUGUGAGAGAGACACAUCGCUUGUCCA